AUUGAACGCUGGCGGCAGGCCUAACACAUGCAAGUCGAGCGGCGCGGCGGACGGGUGAGUAAUGCCUGGGAAUCUGCCUGGUGGUGGGGGAUAACGUCCGGAAACGGGCCCUAAUACCGCAGACUAUCAAAUGAGCCUAGGGCGGAGUAGCUAGUUGGUGGGGUAACGGCACACCAAGGCGACGAUCCGUAACUGGUCUGAGAGGAUGAUCAGUCACACUGGAACUGAGAAACGGUCCAGAUUCCUACUGGAGGCAGCAGUGGGGAAUAUUGGACAAUGGGCGAAAGUCUGAUCCAGCCAUGCCGCGUGUGUGAAGAAGGUGGUCGGAUUGUAAAGCACUUUUAGUUGGGAGGCGUUAUCAAAAGAAUAAGCAACGGCUAACUGCGUGCCAGCAGCCGCGGUAAUAC
rnacentral:rRNA from 1 species